rnacentral:rRNA from 1 species
GACGUAGGGAGCGAGCGUUGUCCGGAUUCAUUGGGCGUAAAGAGCGCGUAGGCGGCCGUGCAAGUCGGUUGUGAAAUGCCGGGGCUCAACCCCGGGACUGCGUCCGAUACUUCCGAGCUGGAGGUAGGUAGGGGAGAUCGGAAUUCCUGGUGUAGCGGUGAAAUGCGCAGAUAUCAGGAGGAACACCGGUGGCGAAGGCGGAUCUCUGGGCCUUACCUGACGCUGAGGCGCGAAAGCUAGGGGAGCGAACAGG